rnacentral:lncRNA from 1 species
AAGCAUUCAUAGAACUCUGAAACACACACACACACACACACACAUACAUAUGUUUUCCUUCAUGAGGGAGUCCUUUAAUAGACAUGGGAAGGACAGGGUCAUGACUUGGUCCUGAGCCAAGGGAUGUAGUGGCUCCUCCUCCCCAACGCUGCAUGACUCUGGUAAAAGUUGACAUGGGAGAGGUGGUUUUAAAACAAACAUGGUGAGACUAAGUUUUCACUUUCAUGAAAAAAAGGGGAACUCGGGAGGAUUUGUACACAGAACAGAGUCUAAGCACCUAUUCCCAUAAGGCUGAAGCUUGCUACAUUCUGCACUGGACACUCUCUCCCCAAACUGUAUGCAUCCAAGUAAGACAAGAGCCUGGCUAGUCCCUGGCUGCACAUGAGGGACUGAUGACUCUAUAGCUCUUAGUGUUUUUACACUAUGCAUAUUGUUGUGCUUUAGAACUCCCUACCCUGCAGCCUCAACCUGAAGCAUCAGGUGAGAAGCCCUCUUCUACUUCAAGCUCAGACCCAGGAGACAGCAGCCCUACUCCUUGCUGGCUCUGUAAACUGAGGGGUCAUCAAAAGAGACGGGUCAAUGCUGGACAAGAUGCAGCCAGUGGGAGAAGGCAGGGUUGGAAGGACCAGGGUGAAAGGUAAGGCCAAGGGUAGCAAGGGUGUAUGGACUGGGAAGGUUGGGGACUGGGCAAAACUGGGCUCAGAUUAGGGGGCAAGAUGUGGAUGGGGGCAGGAUUGAGCAUGUCCUCAAAAGCCAUGCUGUAGCAGCAAGCUGGGCAGGGGUGAGGUGCUCAGGGCUCCAUUCUACCCAGGGCAGCUGCCUCGAGCUUCAGGUGGCUGGGGCAGGCCCUGACUCCAGAUGCGUGUGGGGAGAGGCAGGAGGGAGUCACUAGUGUCAGAUGGGGCUGGGCUGGGGGGGGGGGGGGCAGGGCAUGGUGACAUCCGUGGGCAUGUCCCUGUGGGCCAGGUGGGAUCAACAGGAUCAGUUGUUUUGGAAGAGAGAAAGCAGGUCAUCAUUACUGUUUGGGGAGGUCAGGUGAACCGAGGUAGGACAGCUGGAUAGAACUGUCUUAAAUGUUCCCCUUCAUUAAUCUAAAAUUAGUUUUCAGGUGACUUAGCAAAGCUAUGAUUAAGAACCAGAACUUUUGGGGCGCCUGGGUGGCUCAGUUGGUUAAGUGUCAGACUUCAGCUGAGGUCAUGAUCUCAUGGUUCAUGGUUUGAGCCCAGCAUCAGGCUCUGCUGACAGCUCAGAGCCUAGGGCCUCCUUUGGAUUCUGUCUCUCUCUCUCCCUCUCUCUCUCAAAAAUAAACAUUACAAUAUAUUUAAAAAGAACCAGAACCUUGAAGUUAUAAAAUUAAAAGUUUGAGUCCCAGCUUCUCUCCUUACAGCUGCAUGAUGCCAGUAAAUGUGCAGUUCUAAACCACGGCCCCCAAAUUCAUUGACAUUUCUCUCAGCAUCUGGUAGGUCUUUGUCUCCUUUAUCUUGAAUCUAGACUCUGUGACCAAGAUAAUACUAUGCAAGUGGUACUGUGUCAGUUUCCAGGCUCAGGCUUUUAAAACUAGCAACUUCCACUUCUUGUCUCUUGGGGUGCCCACUCUUAGGACACAGCUGCCAAGAUCCAAGAAAGUCAAAUAGCUUCAUGGAGAACACAUAUGGGCAUUCCAGCCAAGAGCCAUACCUGAAUAUCUAAGUGACUGGCAGCAUCAGCCACCAGACUGUGUAAGUGUGUGGACCUUUGGAUGAUUCUAGUCCCCAGCCAUCAUGUCCUCCCAACCUAUGCAUCAACCCAGCUUAGAACAAAGAUGGGUUAUCCCAACCACAUGGUGCCCAAGUGGCAGAUAUUUGAACAAAUUAAAUAAUUGUUGUGUUUUAAGCCACUGAGUUUAGGUUGGUUUGUUACACAGCAACAUAUAUUUCACCUAGUAAGUUACUUUAUCUCUUUAAUCUGUUUUCUUACCCAUAAAAUGAGAGAAAAACAUCCUCAUGGUGGUGUUAUGAAGGAUAAAUGAAAUAACAUAUUCAAAGCAAGAACCCCAUAUCUUUGAGACUCAGUUGAUAGUAGUCACCAUCGUUACAUUGAUAUUUUUAUUAUUUUAAUGGGCUGAAAUCAUGGGCUUUCAAAAGCCAUAUUAUAUUUCUAAGGUAGCCCCAAGACAAGAUUAUUAGAUAUAAUAGCAAAGAUAUACAUACACACACGCGUGUGUGUAUGAUAGCUAACCUACCUUUUUUUUUUUUUUUUAAGGAUCAAAGAAGGCAUCAAACCCUU